rnacentral:rRNA from 1 species
UACGUAGGGUGCAAGCGUUAAUCGGAAUUACUGGGCGUAAAGCGUGCGCAGGCGGUUUUGUAAGUCUGAGGUGAAAUCUCCGAGCUUAACUCGGAAACUGCCUUGGAUACUAUCCAGCUUGAGGGUUGGAGGGGGGACUGGAAUUCUCGGUGUAGCAGUGAAAUGCGUAGAUAUCGAGAGGAACACCAGUGGCGAAGGCGAGUCCCUGGACAACUCCUGACACUGAGGCACGAAAGCUAGGGGAGCAAACAGG